UGAGAGGAGAAGGCAUUCUUUUAUUACAUCUAUAUUAAAGAAUAUUAUAUUAUUAUGAAGUGAUAAGUAUGGUGCAACUAAAAGGGAAGAAUUUACAUCAAGUUUUGCUGCAAUCAGUUCCCAUCUAAAUUAUUAUUAUUAUUGGUUUUCUAUAUGCUUUGCUUCUUCCAAGGCUUGUUCGAACAGCACAACAAGGAUGGAGAAAUGAGCAGUACAUCAUCAGGCUAAUUUCCCUUGGAAGUGAUCAUUCGGCAAGCACGUACCUCUCCGGCAACGGAUGUUGGGAAGAUUAUGUAUUCAACCCCCUUUGUAAUCUUGGUGAACAUCUAGUGGAUUGGGCUGACGUUUCUAUGAAACUGGAGAAAACAUUGCUAGGAUUAAAGAAUAAAUUGGAAGAAGGGUAUUCAUGGACUUUACUCCGUCAGUUAGAUCAUCAGCACGGUGUGUACCUAGAUGAAGAUUAUCAAAGAACAAUUUGUCACUCCAAGCUCGCUGUUGCCUGGAGAUUAAUGGAGGAUUCUUUCGGACAAAUCUUUGAUAGCUACACAAAAAUUAACGUUAUCAAAAACGUCAUUUACAACUGUGGAAUUGAUUUCAAAGGCUUCUACACCGCUGUCUUGGAAACAAAUGGGGAAAUAGUUUGUGUUGCAGCUCUAAGGUGGUUCCAGAGGGUUUAUGGUAUUGUCCAUAUUGUAUCUGCAAGUUCUGUGGAGAAAUGGAUGAUGAUUUGAUGAACAAAUGCCAUCAAUGUGGCAGGAAAUAUCAUUUGAAGUGCUGUCAAGGGUUGGAAGAAAGAGAACUUGAUCUAAACAUGGUUUCUGUGGAAUUGGAGAAAACAUUGUUAGGAUUAAAGAAUGAAUUGGAAGAAGGGUAUUCAUGGACAUUACUCCGUCAGUUAGAUCAUCAGCACGGUGUGUACAUAGAUGAAGAUUAUGAAAGAACAAUUUGUCACUCCAAGCUCGCUGUUGCCUAGAAAUUAAUGGAGGAUUCUUUCAGACAAGUCAUUGAUAGCUACACAAAAAUUAACGUUAUCAAAAACGUCAUUUAAAACGUCAUUUAGUGCUUUGCUACCUCAAUGUAGAGAAACUAAUCAUUCCAUAUGCAUCAGAAAAGAUAGAAAGUUGGAAGAGAUGGAUUUAGUGUAUUGGAUGAUGAAACACUGAAACAUCUAAUAAACUACAAUGCAUUGAUGUUCCAUGACGCUGUUAGACUGCAAAAGAUCAUCCUUCCUUGCAACAAAUGACCGAAUUAAACAUUACGCUACUACUGCUGCUUUGAUGCCGGUUUCACGACUGCAGCGGCUAAGGCAGCAUAUGGGGCGUGUUUAUUUGACCGGCAUGGGGUGUUUGUGACAGCAACGUAACUAAUGGACCAUUAGACUGUGUUUAUAAUUCUCUUCUGGCACGAACUUUCCUGGAUCAAAGCUUGAGGUUUGGAGGUGAUGGUACGGAUGGUUUCUGAUUGUCUUAAUUUAGUUCGUGGUCCCUUUAAAAGGGGAUCGUAUUGAUAAAACUUAU